GAAUGGGUAAGGCACAUAUCAAGCUUUCCAUAACUAACAAGCUACAAGUUAAUGUAGGAGAGAAAAAGAAAACUCACACUAUCUUUUUUUAAUAUGUUGAUGGACCUUUAUUUUAUUCCUUUAUUUAUAUGUGGUGCUGAGAAUUGAACCCAGUGCCUCACACAUGCUAGGCAAGUGCACUACCACUGAGCCCAGCCCCAGCCCUACACUCUCUUUUAAUGGCUGUUGAGCCGUGAGUUAAGGUCCAGGAGUGCAUUUGCCCCUACGGUGGUCUCUGUCUUACUGUUCUUUGAGUGUAGUUUCAGUUCCUUGUCAUGAAGAUGCUUACCAAUUGGACCUGUGGUUUCUAGAAUCCAAUGCAAUUGCAGAAGAAAGAGGCUCAGGAGAAAAAACACUGAAGAGGCAAAUGAAUCAGAGAGGGACAAAAUGGAGUUGGUUAGGUCAGUUUCUGGGCCCUCUUCUGGAGGAGGACAUGUUUUGGAUCAAAUAUCACAAACUCUAAUUUUUCUUACUAUAUGUAGUGAAUUUUCUUGAAUAAAUAUUUCUUCAUUUGCUGCAUGUUUUUGGAUAAAGUUCAGUGACUAAUUUCUUCACAAAAUAAUUUUCACCAGUUUCCCUUGGGAGCAGAUCCCCAGAGCUAUUCAGAUGGUCACGUCAGAAGUAGAACUCAGAGAAGAGUCUUAGAUGCGUUCCUUUGUGUGAAAGGGAGUUGGACACAAAAUGUUGUAUUCAAAAUGUUAAAUCUGGAUGGCAUACUCAAAAAAGCAAAACCAUGGAGAUUAAAAAAAAAAUAAGUAGGUACCAG
rnacentral:lncRNA from 1 species